GGAGGGGUGGCCGAGUGGUUAAAGGCGCCAGACUGUAAAUCUGGUCACUAUGUGUACGUUGGUUCGAAUCCAACCCCCUCCACCA
rnacentral:tRNA from 2 species